GAAUUCGCCCUUAGAGUUUGAUCCUGGCUCAGGACGAACGCUGGCGGCGUGCCUAACACAUGCAAGUCGAGCGGAGGUAUAUACGAAGAAGUUUUCGGACGGAAUUGUAUAUACUUUAGCGGCGGACGGGUGAGUAACGCGUGAGCAACCUGCCUUUCACAGGGGGAUAAGGCGGCGAAAGCCGCUCUAAUACCGCAUGAGACCACAGUGGUGAUGCUACAGGGGUCAAAGGAGCAAUCCGGUGAAAGAUGGGCUCGCGUCCGAUUAGGUAGUUGGUGGGGUAAUGGCCCACCAAGCCCGUGAUCGGUAGCCGGCCUGAGAGGGUGAACGGCCACAUUGGAACUGAGACACGGUCCAAACCCCUACGGGAGGCUGCAGUGGGGAAUAUUGGGCAAUGGGGGGAACCCUGACCCAGCAACGCCGCGUGAGGGAAGAAGGUUUUCGGAUUGUAAACCUCUGUUCUUGGGGAAGAGUGAAAGACGGUACCCAAGGAGGAAGCCCCGGCUAACUACGUGCCAGCAGCCGCGGUAAUACGUAGGGGCGAGCGUUGUCCGGAAUGAUUGGGCGUAAAGGGCGCGUAGGCGGCUUUGCAAGUCAGUAGUGGAAGUCCAUUUUUCAAGGAUGGAAGUGCUACAGAAACUGCGGAGCUUGAGUGCAGGAGAGGUUAUCGGAAUUCCCGGUGUAGCGGUGAAAUGCGUAGAGAUCGGGAGGAACACCAGUGGCGAAGGCGGGUAACUGGACUGCAACUGACGCUGAGGCGCGAAAGUGUGGGGAGCAAACAGGAUUAGAUACCCUGGUAGUCCACACUGUAAACGAUGAAUGCUAGGUGUAGGAGGUAUCGACCCCCUCUGUGCCGCAGUAAACACAAUAAGUAUCCCGCCUGGGGAGUACGGUCGCAAGGCUGAAACUCAAAGGAAUUGACGGGGGCCCGCACAAGCGGUGGAGCAUGUGGUUUAAUUCGAUGCAACGCGAAGAACCUUACCAGGUCUUGACAUCCAAAGAAUCCUGAUGAAAGUCGGGAGUGCCUUAGGGAGCUUUGAGACAGGUGGUGCAUGGUUGUCGUCAGCUCGUGUCGUGAGAUGUUGGGUUAAGUCCCGCAACGAGCGCAACCCCCGCUAUUAGUUGCUAACAUUCAGAUGAGCACUCUAAUGGGACUGCCCGUGACAAGCGGGAGGAAGGUGGGGAGGACGUCAAAUCAUCAUGCCCUCUAUGAUCUGGGCUACACACGUGCUACAAUGGAUGGUACAGAGAGCAGCGAGACAGUGAUGUGGAGCGAAUCUCAAAAAGCCAUUCUCAGUUCGGAUUGCAGGCUGCAACUCGCCUGCAUGAAGUCGGAAUCGCUAGUAAUCGCGGAUCAGCAUGUCGCGGUGAAUAAGGUCCCGGGCCUUGCACUCACCG
rnacentral:rRNA from 1 species